ACCAAUCAUAACCCGCCAAGAGCGCAGCACUCAAGGAGCUUAGCAUUGCACACCUUUUGCGCAAUCAACUGAAAUGAAGCUUCACGUCAUCAACCAAGCAUGGCGAAUGAAGUGCGGGAUAUACGUAUUGUAUUAAAGGACUCUCGUCGUGUAAUACUGUCACAGAGCAGUUGUUCUUGUGUUGCUGGGACAGCACAUUGUUGCACUACUCAGAGCUUGGCAUCAUUGAAGUUCACAGCUGUACUGAAAUGGUUGAGAGCUGACACAGACCUAGAACAAUGAGGUUCUGUCUGCAAGACCCAAAGAAAUGAGCUUGCUGAUGUAUUAAGGAGUACCUUUUAAAAGAGUGUCACCUGUAAGCUGCCUGACCUCACAGUCCUCCAAGUAGCAGAGGCGUUUAAGGACCUUGCCAGUGCUGUAGCCCCUUCGGUCACCACUAUCAGGAUGUCACAUGUCAAUUCUUUGGUGGAUUUUGGCUUUGGCAGAGUUUAGUAUGGAAGUGUGCUGUCAUGCCAGCAGCAACAACACGCAACCUUAAUUGCUAUCAAGAUGCCCCAUAACUACAACCUCUGCCACUAUUUGGCUACAGCCUUGACACAUCUGUUUGCUUGAUAGUUAUUUAUAUUUACAUGUUUACAUUUCUGAAGUUAAGGUAGUUAUUUACAGUAUAUUACAUACAUACUUUACUGCAAUGUAAAUGUUCGAAGUCAUUUAGUUUUACAUUCAUGCAGUGCAGGCAACACUGUAUGAAAGUUAUUUACAGUAUAUUUAAAUACAUUACUGCAUUGUAAAUGUUCAAAGCCACAUGUUUACAUUCCUGCA